UGAUUUGGUUCAAUGGUAGAGCAUGGGAAUCAUAAUCCUGAUGUUGUAGGUUCAAUCCUAACAUAAUUAU
rnacentral:tRNA from 1 species